rnacentral:rRNA from 1 species
UCAAGCGACUAAGUGCAUGUGGUGGAUGCCUUGGCGAUCACAGGCGAUGAAGGACGUUGCAGCGUGCGAAAAGCCACGGGGAGCUCGCAAACAAGCUUUGAUCCGUGGAUGUCCGAAUGGGGAAACCCGGCCCGCAAGGGUCACUCCUGGCUGAAUACAUAGGUCAGGUAGAGCGAACCCGGUGAACUGAAACAUCUAAGUAGCCGGAGGAACAGAAAUCAACCGAGAUUCCGAAAGUAGUGGCGAGCGAAAUCGGAUUAGCCAGCACAAUUUAGCCAUUACGCUAGCAGAGCGGUCUGGAAAGGCCGGCCAUAGUGGGUGAUAGCCCCGUAUGCGAAAGCCUGAUGGUGGAACUGGGUGUGCGAGAAGUAGGGCGGGACACGUGAAAUCCUGUCUGAAGAUGGGGGGACCAUCCUCCAAGGCUAAAUACUCGUGAUCGACCGAUAGUGAACCAGUACCGUGAGGGAAAGGCGAAAAGAACCCCGGAAGGGGAGUGAAACAGAUCCUGAAACCGCAUGCAUACAAACAGUGGGAGUCCCGCAAGGGAUGACUGCGUACCUUUUGUAUAAUGGGUCAGCGACUUACGUUCUGUUGCGAGCUUAACCGCAUAGGGAAGGCGCAGCGAAAGCGAGUCCGAACAGGGCGCUUGAGUAGCAGGGCGUAGACCCGAAACCGGAUGAUCUAGCCAUGGCCAGGCUGAAGCGGGGGUAACACCUCGUGGAGGGCCGAACCCACUACCGUUGAAAAGGUAGGGGAUGAGCUGUGGCUAGGGGCGAAAGGCUAAACAAAUCCGGAGAUAGCUGGUUCUCUCCGAAAGCUAUUGAGGUAGCGCCUCGUGUAUCACCUUCGGGGGUAGAGCACUGUCAUGGUAGUGGGGAGCAUCGCGCUCUACCACGCCAUUGCAAACUCCGAAUACCGAAGAGUGCGAGCACGGGAGACAGACGGUGGGUGCUAACGUUCAUCGUCGAGAGGGAAACAACCCAGACCCUCAGCUAAGGUCCCCAAGACACAGUUAAGUGGGAAACGAGGUGGGAAGGCAUAGACAGCCAGGAUGUUGGCUUAGAAGCAGCCAUCAUUUAAAGAAAGCGUAAUAGCUCACUGGUCGAGUCGUCCUGCGCGGAAGAUGUAACGGGGCUCAAACUGUGCACCGAAGCUAGGGAUUCAGGAGUCAGUUGUCAGUUGACGGUUGACAGUAACGGCCGAUGGCCUUGAUUCGUUUCGAGGAGUUGGAGGUCUUCAAGCGCGCAUAUCGGGUGUCGUUGGACAUCCACCGUGCGAGCCUGGGGUUUCCGUCCUCGGAGCAGUACGCGCUGGCCGAUCAGGUCAGGCGCUGCAGCAAGGGCAUCUGCGCCAACAUCGCCGAAGGGUUCGGCAAAUCCAGUCGUUCGAGGGCGGAACUGCAGAGGUUCCUGUCGAUGGCGAUCGGGUCUGCCGACGAGAUGCGGGUGUGGCUGCGUUACUGCCUGGACUUGGGGUACGUCUCCGAGUCGAGUUGGCAAGCAUGGCGCGACGAGUACGAGGAGAUCGCGAAGAUGCUUCAAGGGUUGAGUAAGAGCGCGGCGCGCCGUUGAGCGCGCUCUUACUGCCAACUGCCAACUGUCAACUGGCUCCUGGAUGGUAGGAGAGCGUUCCGUAGGCCUGUGAAGGCGGCUGGAGACGGCUGCUGGAGGUAUCGGAAGUGCGAAUGCUGACAUGAGUAGCGAUAAAGCAGGUGAAAGGCCUGCUCGCCGUAAGCCCAAGGUUUCCUGCGCCACGUUCAUCGGCGCAGGGUGAGUCGGCCCCUAAGGCGAGGACGAGAGUCGUAGCUGAUGGGAAGCGGGUCAAUAUUCCCGCACCGACGUGGAAUGCGAUGGGGGGACGGAGAAGGUUAACCAGGCCGGGUGUUGGACGUCCCGGUUCAAGCGUGUAGGCGUGCCCGAUUGGCAAAUCCGUCGGGCUUAGCCGAGGCGUGACGUCGAGGGCCGGCUUGCCGGUCCGAAGCGGGUGAUACCAGGCUCCCGGGAAAAGCCUCUAAGCUUCAGUUCCACGACGACCGUACCGCAAACCGACACAGGUGGGCGAGCUGAAUAUGCUCAGGCGCUUGAGAGAACUCAGGAGAAGGAACUCGGCAAAUUGACACCGUAACUUCGGAAGAAGGUGUGCCCCUAGUAGGUGAACGUGUACAACGGGAGCCCAAUGGGGUCGCAGAGAAUCGGUGGCUGCGACUGUUUAAUAAAAACACAGCACUCUGCAAAGGCGAAAGCCGACGUAUAGGGUGUGACGCCUGCCCGGUGCCGGAAGGUUAAGUGAUGGGGUGCAAGCUCUUGAUCGAAGCCCCGGUAAACGGCGGCCGUAACUAUAACGGUCCUAAGGUAGCGAAAUUCCUUGUCGGGUAAGUUCCGACCUGCACGAAUGGCGUAACGAUGGCCACACUGUCUCCUCCUGAGACUCAGCGAAGUUGAAGUGUUUGUGAAGAUGCAAUCUCCCCGCGGCAAGACGGAAAGACCCCGUGCACCUUUACUGUAGCUUUGCAUUGGACUGUGAUGAGGUUUGUGUAGGAUAGCUGGGAGGCUUUGAAGUGGGGGCGCCAGCUCUCAUGGAGCCAACGUUGAAAUACCAGCCUGACGUCAUUGCGGUUCUAACCUUGGUCCGUGAUCCGGAUCGGGGACCGUGCAUGGCAGGCAGUUUGACUGGGGCGGUCUCCUCCCAAAGAGUAACGGAGGAGCUCGAAGGUUCGCUUAGCGCGGUCGGACAUCGCGCUUCAAUGUGUAAGGGCACAAGCGAGCUUGACUGCGAGACUGACAAGUCGAGCAGGUGCGAAAGCAGGACCUAGUGAUCCGGUGGUUCUGAAUGGAAGGGCCAUCGCUCAACGGACAAAAGGUACGCCGGGGAUAACAGGCUGAUACCGCCCAAGAGUUCAUAUCGACGGCGGUGUUUGGCACCUCGAUGUCGGCUCAUCACAUCCUGGGGCUGUAGCCGGUCCCAAGGGUAUGGCUGUUCGCCAUUUAAAGUGGUACGUGAGCUGGGUUUAAAACGUCGUGAGACAGUUUGGUCCCUAUCUGCAGUGGGCGUUGGAGAUUUGACGGGGGCUGCUCCUAGUACGAGAGGACCGGAGUGGACGCACCGCUGGUGUACCGGUUGUGACGCCAGUCGCAUCGCCGGGUAGCUAUGUGCGGAAGUGAUAACCGCUGAAAGCAUCUAAGCGGGAAACACGCCUGAAGAUGAGAUCUCCCGGGGGCUAGACCCCCCUGAAGGGUCGUGGCAGACCACCACGUUGAUAGGCCGGAGGUGGAAGCGCGGCAACGCGUUGAGCUGACCGGUACUAAUCGCCCGUGCGGCUUGAUCCC